UGGGGAAUUUUGGACAAUGGGCGCAAGCCUGAUCCAGCCAUGCCGCGUGAGUGAAGAAGGCCUUCGGGUUGUAAAGCUCUUUCGGCUGGGACGAAAAGGUCUGUGUUAACACCACGGAUCCAUGACGGUACCAGCAGAAGAAGCACCGGCUAACUACGUGCCAGCAGCCGCGGUAAUACGUAGGGUGCAGGCGUUAAUCGGAAUUACUGGGCGUAAAGCGUGCGCAGGCGGUUUGCUAAGACAGGUGUGAAAUCCCCGGGCUUAACCUGGGAACUGCGCUUGUAACUGGCAAGCUAGAGUGUGGCAGAGGGGGGUGGAAUUCCAGGUGUAGCAGUGAAAUGCGUAGAGAUCUGGAGGAACACCGAUGGCGAAGGCAGCCCCCUGGGCUAACACUGACGCUCAUGCACGAAAGCGUGGGGAGCAAACAGGAUUAGAUACCCUGGUAGUCCACGCCCUAAACUAUGUCAACUGGUUGUCGGGGAAGCAAUUCCUUGGUAACGAAGCUAACGCGUGAAGUUGACCGCCUGGGGAGUACGGCCGCAAGGUUAA
rnacentral:rRNA from 1 species